rnacentral:rRNA from 1 species
AACGAACGCUGGCGGCGUGCCUAACACAUGCAAGUCGUGCGAGAAAGUUCCUUCGGGAGCGAGUAAAGCGGCGCACGGGUGAGUAACACGUAGGUAACCUGCCCCCCAGUCUGGAACAACUAGAGGAAACUCUAGCUAAUGCCGGAUGAGACCACGAUCCCUUCGGGGGUUGCGGCCAAAGAUGGCCUCUACUUGUAAGCUAUCGCUGAGGGAUGGGCCUGCGGGCCAUUAGCUUGUUGGUGAGGUAACGGCUCACCAAGGCUGUGAUGGCUAGCUGGUCUGAGAGGAUGACCAGCCACACUGGGACUGAGACACGGCCCAGACUCCUACGGGAGGCAGCAGUGGGGAAUAUUGCGCAAUGGGCGAAAGCCUGACGCUGCGACGCCGCGUGGGUGAUGAAGGCC